CCUACGGGAGGCAGCAGUGGGGAAUAUUGGACAAUGGGCGAAAGCCUGAUCCAGCCAUGCCGCGUGUGUGAAGAAGGCCUUCGGGUUGUAAAGCACUUUCAGUGGGGAAGAAAGCCUUGGGGCUAAUACCCUCGAGGAAGGACAUCACCCACAGAAGAAGCACCGGCUAACUCCGUGCCAGCAGCCGCGGUAAUACGGAGGGUGCGAGCGUUAAUCGGAAUUACUGGGCGUAAAGCGCGCGUAGGCGGUCUGAUAAGCCGGUUGUGAAAGCCCCGGGCUCAACCUGGGAACGGCAUCCGGAACUGUCAGGCUAGAGUGCAGGAGAGGAAGGUAGAAUUCCCGGUGUAGCGGUGAAAUGCGUAGAGAUCGGGAGGAAUACCAGUGGCGAAGGCGGCCUUCUGGACUGACACUGACGCUGAGGUGCGAAAGCGUGGGUAGCAAACAGGAUUAGAUACCCGGGUAGUC
rnacentral:rRNA from 1 species